rnacentral:rRNA from 1 species
CUGGUCUCGUUAGAUCACCGAAGUCAAGCAUCAUUGGGCGCGGUCAGUACUUGGGUGGGUGACCACCUGGGAACACCGCGUGCCGUU